AACCUGGUUGAUCCUGCCAGUAGUCAUAUGCUUGUCUCAAAGAUUAAGCCAUGCAUGUCUAAGUAUAAAAGUAUUCUAUACUUGAAACUGCGAAUAGCUCAUUAAAUCAGUUAUAGUUUAUUUGAUGGUGCCUUACUACAUGGAUACCCGUAGUAAUUCUAGAGCUAAUACAUGCCAAAAAAACCCAACCGCAAGGGCGGGUUGUAUUUAUUAGAUAAAAACCAUUACUCGCAAGAGUUUUUGUGGUGAUUCAUAAUAACUGUUCGAAUCGCAUGCCGCAAGGCGGCGAUAGAUCAUUCAAAUUUCUGCCCUAUCAGCUCUCGACGGUAGUGUAGUGGACUACCGUGGCAUUAACGGGUAACGGAGAAUUAGGGUUCGAUUCCGGAGAGGGAGCCUGAGAAACGGCUACCACAUCCAAGGAAGGCAGCAGGCGCGCAAAUUACCCAAUCCUGAUACAGGGAGGUAGUGACAAAAAAUAACAAUACCGGGCAUUUUAUGUCUGGUAAUUGGAAUGAGUACAAUUUAAAUCCCUUAACGAGGAUCAAUUGGAGGGCAAGUCUGGUGCCAGCAGCCGCGGUAAUUCCAGCUCCAAUAGCGUAUAUUAAAGUUGUUGCAGUUAAAAAGCUCGUAGUUGGAUUUCUGGUAUGGUGCGCCUGGCCCACGGUUGCAAAACCGCGAGUGUCGGUGUGCGCCUGCCAUCUUUCUAGUUAACUGGACGCACUUAACUGGGCGGUCAGCGAUCUAGAUCUUUUACUUUGAAAAAAUUAGAGUGUUUAAAGCAGGCUUGCGCUAUGAAUACAUUAGCAUGGAAUAAUAAUUUAGGACUUUAUUCCUAUUUAUUGGUUUCUGGAGUAGAGUAAUGAUUGAUAGGGAUAGUUGGGGGUGCUAGUAUUCAUCGGCCAGAGGUGAAAUUCUUGGAUUCGAUGAAGACUAACUAAUGCGAAAGCAUUCACCAAGGAUGUCUUCUUUAAUCAAGAACGAAAGUUGGGGGAUCGAAGACGAUCAGAUACCGUCGUAGUCUCAACCAUAAACUAUACCGACUAGGGAUUAGUGGAAGUUGCUUUUUCGACUCCAUUAGCACCUGAUGAGAAAUCGAAGUCUUUGGGUUCUGGGGGGAGUAUGGUCGCAAGGCUGAAACUUAAAGGAAUUGACGGAAGGGCACCACCAGGAGUGGAGCCUGCGGCUUAAUUUGACUCAACACGGGGAAACUUACCAGGUCCGGACAUAGUGAGGAUUGACAGAUUGAAGUUCUUUCUUGAUUCUAUGGGUGGUGGUGCAUGGCCGUUCUUAGUUGGUGGAGCGAUCUGUCUGGUUAACUGUAACGGUUUUGGCCAGAGAUAGGGAGGUAGCUUCGUGCUAUUAUGCUCUCUAGUCGUAAGUCUUAUGUACUAUUUACGGUAGCUACAACAGAGGGAAACUCUCUGUCGGCUUCGGCAACACACCUGGUUCAGGGGAGGCUUUGCUAUGCAGAGUUAAUCCUGAGGCGAGAUAGCUCCUUGUUGGACUAUCCGUUGCAACGCGUGCUAAGGUGUGCGUCUUGUCUUGUGGUGCCGGUUUUCGAAUUCAGAUGUCGAAGCGGAAACGCGAGGUUUUCGAGUCACAAGCACGCUGCUGCAGCCGCAGCGAGUGCGAGUGAUGAGAAAAAAGGACGGGUAGACCAGCGGGUUCUAAGGCUAAGCCGGUCAUUGAUCGACUUUUGGCUGAAGAUCCGCUGGCCUGUGUUAAGCUCUGGGAAAAGUGUGGUGACAAGAAGACAUUAGUCCAAGUUGCCUCCUCCUUACAAUGGUAACGAGUUUGCCUGUUGGCGGUUUACUCCGCCAAAAGGUCUCGGGGCCAGUGUAAUCAGAGCAAGGGUUAUGGUGAAAUCUCUCCUUGGGGAAGGGAAAAUACGCGCAUGUAUAUGCAUGUGUUAUCUCACUUUAUCCAUACGGGAGAAAAGCCUGUGCCGAAAGAUCCGAAAACAGGAUAUUUCGCAUCGGUGUCAUCGCAAAUACUGCUUCAACCCAGCACAUUUGGUGCGCGAAACUGUCGACGUCAACGGGUCGCGGGACUACUGCCACGGGGCAGUACAGUUGGGUGGUGUGUUACACAAUUUGUGUCCACAUUCUCCAGCAUGUCUGCGUCCGGGCGUCGAAGUUCAGAACUUUGUUAUCGCACCAAUUACUCCUGCGGAGUUGCGCACUGUCCAAACCGGACUCGCAGCUUCCAAAGAGAAGAAACCAAUGGCAGCGGCAGCGGCAGCAGCAGCAGCCGAUGACACUUGACAUUCUAUCUCUCUCUCUCUCGUUUCGCUUAGAUUUUCUUCAGGUAUGUAUAAUUCGAACUCUAUGAUCAUACACAAGCGGGCGUAAGGUACAUGCUGACCCUUUCGAUCACACGAAAGUGUGAGAGUUUGCUGAGUAACUGAACUCCGUAAGAGAUAAGUGCUCGGGUCUGGGAGACCAGAUGGAUGGAAUCGUAAUUCCGUUAACGAACGAGACCUGCGACCUGCUAAAUAGUACAACGUAACCCUUGGUUAUGUGUGCACUUCUUAGAGGGACUGUCGGUUCUUAGCCGAAGAAGUUCGAGGCAAUAACAGGUCUGUGAUGCCCUUAGAUGUUGUGGGCCGCACGCGCGCUACACUGAUACGUUCAUCGAGCUUACACCUCGUCGGGAGGCCUGGGUAUCUUUUCAAAGCGUAUCGUGCUGGGGAUAGAUUAUUGUAAUUAUUAAUCUUCAACGAGGAAUUCCUAGUAAGCGCGAGUCAUCAACUCGCACUGAUUACGUCCCUGCCCUUUGUACACACCGCCCGUCGCUGCUACCGAUUGAAUGCAUUAGUGAGUCUUGGGGAUCGUUUCUCUUGAGGGUAAAACUUCGGGUUAGAUGAGAACCAAUACAAACUUGCGCAUUUAGAGGAAGCAAAAGUCGUAACAAGGUUUCCGUAGGUGAACCUGCAGAAGGAUC
rnacentral:rRNA from 1 species